CAUGUACUCCCUCCGUCCGAAAUUACAUGUCGCAUAAAUGGAUGAAAAUGAAUGUAUCUAGAAUUAAAAUACAUCUAGAUACAUUUAUUUCUCCGAUAAGUAUUUCCGGACGGAGGGAGUACUUG
rfam:Triticum aestivum genome assembly, contig: Triticum_aestivum_CS42_TGACv1_scaffold_373971_5AL